rnacentral:rRNA from 1 species
CCUACGGGUGGCAGCAGUGAGGAAUAUUGGUCAAUGGGCGGGAGCCUGAACCAGCCAAGUCGCGUGAGGGAUGACGGCCCUAUGGGUUGUAAACCUCUUUUGCCGGGGAGCAAAGUGCCGCACGUGUGCGGUUUGGAGAGUACCCGGAGAAAAAGCAUCGGCUAACUCCGUGCCAGCAGCCGCGGUAAUACGUAGGGGGCAAGCGUUAUCCGGAUUUACUGGGUGUAAGGGGAGCGGAGACGGCAGCGCAAGUCUGAAGUGAAAUGCCGGGGCUUAACCCCGGAACUGCUUUGGAAACUGUGCAGCUAGAGUGCAGGAGAGGUAAGUGGAAUUCGUGGUGUAGCGGUGAAAUGCUUAGAUAUCACGAAGAACUCCGAUUGCGAAGGCAGCGUACCGGCUCCACACUGACGCUGAGGCACGAAAGCGUGGGUAUCGAACAGGAUUAGAUACCCUGGUAGUC